rnacentral:lncRNA from 1 species
CCCGUCCCAGCUUCUGACCUGCAUCCUCCUGGAGGCUGGAAAACCACAGUUCCAACUGUUUGGUGCUGGAGGAGAGAGGAGAGGUGCUGGCCAGUCCCACUCUGGGCUUCUGCCAUCCACAGCCGCUGAGCCCCGGGAACACCGGCAAACGACCAGGAACUGCGCACUAAGUGACAGAAGAAGGACGCGAUGACGCUUAUUUGCCAAGGGUUACACAGAGGACGUCGGCUCCCUUGGUUUCAUAGUUUGAGAGUCAGGGGGAAAGAAAGAACAUAGCCACUUAGGGCGUAGAGCAAACCCCGGCCCUCGCCGCCCCCACCUCAGUUCCCAUUGCCCUUCCUCUCUGGUUAGUCGGGGAGCCACACCGACCAGCUAGCUGGGCCUUUAAGAAGGAAGAUGACUGGGCGAGGAAACCGAGGGCUGCACCCACACCGAGCACGUGGGAGCCUCGACCAAUGAAAAGACAGACAGACGGGAAAGGGUGGGGAGUCUUGGAGAACCCACGUAGUCACCUUGCACCUUGUCAAUGCUAGGCUCUAGCUUCACCCUACUUGCGGCGGGGCUAAUGGAGGGGAUGUGGCUAGAAUCUCCUGGGAGGGGACAAUAGGUCCAAACCACCGAGGCCAAGAACUUCCCUAGCGGAGGAAUUCCACAGAGGGUGUGACUCCAGGUCCCUAACAAUGGACCUCUUAAGCUGGGCAGACCAGGUGGAGCCCGCUGUGCAGCGAGGGGAGCAGUCACGCUCCUCACCCCCAGCAAGGCCAGGCUCCCCGGGACUAAUGAGCCCGCUAGGAGCCUGCACCUAGCCAGGCACCCCCAGAUAAAGGUUGGCCCAGUACUGGAAGGACAGCGAGCCGAGGCGCGGCCCGCGGGGCUGGCCCGGGUCCGUCUUACGUUGCCUGGGCGGAGGUGGUGGCCUUCUGGUCCAGCGAGGGGCGGUCGGCGGACACGGUGGUGUUGGCAGCGGGGGGGCGGGAACCUGGCGGGGUAGGGGCGCCGCGGCGGGGAAGGUGCUACUUCUGGGAAAGAGCGGGGAUAGCAGCAGUGCCAGUUCGGGGCUGGCCAGGCAAGGCAAGGCCCCCCGAGUGGGAGGAGAAUAAGCUCCCACUGGGGAUAGGCGCACAGGCAGGAGCUGCUCCUCCGGGGGACUCGCUGCCCCCAGCAGCCGGAGCCGGGAAUUGGACCACCCGGUCAGAGGCGUAAAGAGCAGGGACCCGGGUGCGCCCGCGCCCCCACCCUCCAACAGGGGGCGCCCGUCGGCCGAGAACCGGAAAACCGGGGGCCGAGGGAAUAGCGAGGGACCGGCUGCAGGCGGGAUUGGCGGGGCCAGGUGCAGAGGGGGAGGGCAGUGCGGCCGGCAGCCAGGCAAGGAGGGGCGGGAAAGAGAGGAGCAAAGAGUUAGUCCCUUCACUCCAAGAUCCACCCAGUUUCCCUUUCCCAGAGCGCGCCCUGGAGAUGGGGCGGGAAGGACACUGCAGAAGGAGGGGACCAGGGGCGGGCUCAGGACCCGCCCUCCUGCGGGUCCGCGCUUCUUACCCACGGCGUGCGCGCGCGGUUCCUCCGGCUCCUGCGAGGCGGAUGCCUCCUCACCAGCCCGGGGGCUGGCCGCCCUGCCCUCCUCCGACAGCCCCUCUGCAAUAGGCUGCAGCCCAAGUCGAUUUUUCUUCCUCCGCGGAGGGACGGGUGGGGGAGGCGGUCGAGGCGGGACCAAAGCCCACCCAGCCGGGGGGUCCCGGGGCGGGACUGGCGGAGGCUGGGCUCGGCUUCUCGACCGGAGUUCCUUGAAGGUGGUGACUUCUCGGGGAGGUGCCAAAGAACCUCCCAAGGACCCAGUCGGCGGGAGCUCAGUGUCGGGCGAGAAGACUAUGAGCCAGUCGCUGCGAUCUUUCUUGGCCUGCGGCACAAGGGGCAGCCCUGGACCCCGCUUGCGCUUCUGGGCCAGCUCAUGGAAGGACGUGAUUGUCCGAUGGGGCACCGGCUCCUGGCUGACGUCACCUCUCCAUCCCCCAUCAGUUUUCCCUGCAUCUAUUUUCGAAC